AGUGAACGCUGGCGGUAGGCCUAACACAUGCAAGUCGAACGGCAGCACAGUAAGAGCUUGCUCUUACGGGUGGCGAGUGGCGGACGGGUGAGGAAUACAUCGGAAUCUACUUUUUCGUGGGGGAUAACGUAGGGAAACUUACGCUAAUACCGCAUACGACCUACGGGUGAAAGCAGGGGAUCUUCGGACCUUGCGCGAUUGAAUGAGCCGAUGCCGGAUUAGCUAGUUGGCGGGGUAAAGGCCCACCAAGGCGACGAUCCGUAGCUGGUCUGAGAGGAUGAUCAGCCACACUGGAACUGAGACACGGUCCAGACUCCUACGGGAGGCAGCAGUGGGGAAUAUUGGACAAUGGGCGCAAGCCUGAUCCAGCCAUACCGCGUGGGUGAAGAAGGCCUUCGGGUUGUAAAGCCCUUUUGUUGGGAAGGAAAAGCAGCAGGUUAAUACCCCGCUGUUCUGACGGUACCCAAAGAAUAAGCACCGGCUAACUUCGUG
rnacentral:rRNA from 1 species